GGGCGAUUAGCUCAGCGGAAGAGUGCUUCGUUCACACCGAAGAGGUCACUGGUUCGAACCCAGUAUCGCCCACCA
rnacentral:tRNA from 1 species